AUUGAACGCUGGCGGCAUGCCUUACACAUGCAAGUCGAACGGUAACGGGCCUUCGGGUGCCGACGAGUGGCGAACGGGUGAGUAAUACAUCGGAACGUGCCCGAUCGUGGGGGAUAACGAGGCGAAAGCUUUGCUAAUACCGCAUACGAUCUACGGAUGACAGCAGGGGACCGCAAGGCCUUGCGCGGACGGAGCGGCCGAUGGCAGAUUAGGUAGUUGGUGGGAUAAAAGCUUACCAAGCCGACGAUCUGUAGCUGGUCUGAGAGGAUGAUCAGCCACACUGGGACUGAGACACGGCCCAGACUCCUACGGGAGGCAGCAGUGGGGAAUUUUGGACAAUGGGCGCAAGCCUGAUCCAGCCAUGCCGCGUGCAGGAUGAAGGCCUUCGGGUUGUAAAAUGCUUUUGUACGGAACGAAAAGCCUUCUUUUAAUACAGGAGGGUCAUGACGGUACCGUAAGAAUAAGCACCGGCUAACUACGUG
rnacentral:rRNA from 1 species